ACCAGACUCCUACGGGAGGCAGCAGUGGGGAAUAUUGCACAAUGGGGGGAACCCUGAUGCAGCGACGCCGCGUGGGUGAAGAAGCGCCUCGGCGCGUAAAGCCCUGUCAGCAGGGAAGAAAAUGACGGUACCUGAAGAAGAAGCCCCGGCUAACUACGUGCCAGCAGCCGCGGUAAUACGUAGGGGGCAAGCGUUAUCCGGAUUUACUGGGUGUAAAGGGGGCGCAGACGGCGAUGCAAGCCAGGAGUGAAAGCCCGGGGCCCAACCCCGGGACUGCUCUUGGAACUGCGUGGCUGGAGUGCAGGAGGGGCAGGCGGAAUUCCUGGUGUAGCGGUGAAAUGCGUAGAUAUCAGGAGGAACACCGGUGGCGAAGGCGGCCUGCUGGACUGCAACUGACGUUGAGGCCCGAAAGCGUGGGGAGCAAACAGGAUUAGAUACCCGAGUAC
rnacentral:rRNA from 1 species